GACGAACGCUGGCGGCGUGCCUAAUACAUGCAAGUAGAACGCUGAAGGAGGAGCUUGCUUCUCUGGAUGAGUUGCGAACGGGUGAGUAACGCGUAGGUAACCUGCCUGGUAGCGGGGGAUAACUAUUGGAAACGAUAGCUAAUACCGCAUAAUAGUAGAUGUUGCAUGACAUUUGCUUAAAAGGUGCAAUUGCAUCACUACCAGAUGGACCUGCGUUGUAUUAGCUAGUUGGUGGGGUAACGGCUCACCAAGGCAACGAUACAUAGCCGACCUGAGAGGGUGAUCGGCCACACUGGGACUGAGACACGGCCCAGACUCCUACGGGAGGCAGCAGUAGGGAAUCUUCGGCAAUGGACGGAAGUCUGACCGAGCAACGCCGCGUGAGUGAAGAAGGUUUUCGGAUCGUAAAGCUCUGUUGUAAGAGAAGAACGAGUGUGAGAGUGGAAAGUUCACACUGUGACGGUAUCUUACCAGAAAGGGACGGCUAACUACGUGCCAGCAGCCGCGGUAAUACGUAGGUCCCGAGCGUUGUCCGGAUUUAUUGGGCGUAAAGCGAGCGCAGGCGGUUAGAUAAGUCUGAAGUUAAAGGCUGUGGCUUAACCAUAGUACGCUUUGGAAACUGUUUAACUUGAGUGCAAGAGGGGAGAGUGGAAUUCCAUGUGUAGCGGUGAAAUGCGUAGAUAUAUGGAGGAACACCGGUGGCGAAAGCGGCUCUCUGGCUUGUAACUGACGCUGAGGCUCGAAAGCGUGGGGAGCAAACAGG
rnacentral:rRNA from 1 species